rnacentral:lncRNA from 1 species
GGCGGCUCCGCCACCGCCACCACCAGGCUCUUGUCCUCCGUUGACAUCCUAGUCAGCAGGACGAGAGAGACACAUGGAUGAUGGUGAUGAAGAUGAGGAUGGUGAUGGGGAUCCCGAUGCUCCUCCUGCUCCCGCGGCUCCUCUCCUCCUCACCUCCGCCUCCUCCACCUCCGCCUCGCAUCGCUGGCCUCAGCCGCCGCCGACCAGCGCAGAUGGCCAGACGUUUAAUUUUGGAGGCUGCUACAGGGCAUCAGAGUUUUCAAUCCAGAAGAUCACGCAGGUGCAUUGUACUGGUGGAUGCUCCUUUCCCAGUCAAAAAGAUUCUUUCCAUUGCCAAAGGCUUCCCAACUCUUCCCUUCUUUACAAAAUGCACAAGUCCUGUGCUGCUCCGUGGCUGCUGCAAACUAUUAACCAGGUAAAUGCUAACUUUUAGUCAGGUGAGUAUUACAGAAUAUUCACUGCAACUUCCUACAUAAGCUGUAGUGUAGCGACGUGGCAGGGCUUUCUCCUCAGGUGGGUACUGAGUUUGGCAGAGCGACGCGGCCCAUUGCCUCAGCUGGAUCUGUCUGUAUGAAAACAUAUUUGGAUAAAGAGGUUCAAGAGACAAUUAUUAUGGCAGCCACAGAAAAGAAGCAGAAUAUCAAGUUCCUCUCCAGGACAUGGUGCAAGCCUUAUGCCCAGCAGCCAUCAAAAUGGCUGCUUUCUGCCUUUGUCCAUUAGUUUCCAGUAAAAAUACAACUGUGGGCAUGUUUCCACUCGAGAACCUUUACCUUCUGCCAUUUCCAGGCUCCAUGGAAAUUUAAGUGGCUGGCACCAGAUACGUAAGUGAAAG